rnacentral:lncRNA from 1 species
CCGAAUUCAACUUAUAGAAAGAUGCUCUACUUUUCAAAAAAAAAAGAAAGAUGCUCUAAGAGUAUUUCCAACAUAGAAAUUACCUAAAAGAAAAAGUAAUUUAAGUUUUUUUUUUUAAAAAAAUUAUUAUUUUAACCCAAAAAAAAGUUGCUUGAACUAUUGCAGAUGAUGCAUGAGAGUGUUAGUGUCUAAUCGAAUUGAUCUAUUAUUCUAUUGUAUUGGCCAUUUAAAGCGGAGAAGGUCUUUGAUGCAAUUAGAAUUGUGCUCUUCAUUCAUUCACUAUUUAUCACAUGUAAAUGUGCUCUUCAUUCAUUCACUAUUUAUCACAUGUAAAUGUGUAUUAUUUUAAUUAGUUGAAUCAUACCCAUCAAAGAGUGAAUUA